rnacentral:sRNA from 1 species
AGGAUAACGUUGCGUCAGCAACGGCCCGUAGGGCGAGGCGAAGCCGAGUCAUCCUGCACGACCCACCG